AUGCAGGCAGGCGCCCCCCAGCCUACGAGGCUUUACCAAGGACCCUUCCAGGAGGAAGACGGGCGCGACCCCCUUGUCCUUGUUGGGCGCCAGCCUGCGGCGCCAGCAGCGGCGGCGGAAGCGGCUCCGGGGCUGAGGGUGGAGGUGGAACUUGGAGCCGAAGGCGUCGUACUCCCAGCCCUCCUCCUCGCCCUCGGCCGGGCCCUGCGGUGGGGAAGAGGGCAGGGCUGUGUUCCCGCAGCCGCGAAGGCGGCUGUGCCCGCAGCCCCCGCCAGGGCCCCCGCGGACGCCUCACCAGCUGCAGGAAGGAGACCGUCUCCUGCUCGUGGCUCAGCGCCCCGCGGUUCCGGAAGCGCACGCGCGCCCAGCGCCGCCGGCGGCACGAGUGUGCAGGGCUACUGCAGCUUCACCCUCUCUCAUCACGCCAAAUGCCCUGCAGGGAGGCCAUCUCUUCCCUGCCAGGCCACCUCACCCCCACCCCUGCAUGCCUGCCCUGGCCCUGGGCUGCCGCUCACCACUCACCGUCUCGGCGUACACCGCCGUGUCACCCUGGCGGAGAAGCUGCAGGUCCUUGCUGUCUGUGACGUUGCCAAGCCACAUGCAGACCCGGAGGUGAGCUGGGAGCACAUCCUUCUGUCCUUCACCCUCUGGGUACUGAGUCAGAGGCCGAUCGGUCCCAUAGGGGCACUAAACACCCUGAACGCCACCCCAGCCACCCCCCAAGUGGGCUGUACCUGCCCCUUUCCCCCGAGCCCUGGGAGCGGGGCCCUCACUGAGCUGAGUGCUGGAGCCCUAACUGAAUGGCAUGGAGUUCUGUUCUGGGAGUGCCUCGCACAGGGAGUAGCAGGGACGUUGAUAAUGGGGGGACGGACUGACGGACAUUCCUUGUGAGUUGGUUAUGGGCCGGCACUGUGCCAGUUGCCCGGUGUGCAUCGUAGGCCUGGAUCCUCGCAGCCCACCACGAGGAGGGCGUAGUGAUCGCCAGGCCCAUUCUACAGAGCAGCACACUGAGGGCUGGGCAUGGUCAGGAGUUGGCCUAGGGCCACACAGAGCCAGGAUUCGUGUCUCAGGGGCUCUUGCAGGAUGCAAAGGACUCUGGUGGGUAUGGAAGGAGCUUUGCACAUUGGUGGAGACGGCAAAGGGCAGGUACAGUUGGGGCCAGGGAAAGCCCAGUGUCCUUACUGUUGAGAGUAUGGGCUAGAGAGAAUGGAUGCAGGGCCAGGGGCCAGGGGCCAGGCCACAAGGCGGCACCUUCUCCAGGAGGCAGUGGGGAGCCAGGAAGUCUCUGAUGGGGGAAGGGAGUGGCCCCCACGUCCCCCCGGGAGGAUCAGAAGCAGGGAGGCCACUGUCACAGCCAGGAGUGAGGGUCGUGGUCAGGGUGUUUAGUCUUAUUUAUAGCUUGCAUCUGAUAUGAUGGGCUGGUGCCAAAUCUUAUUAAAUUAAAUAUUUUGGAGAUCACCCUGUCAUGGUCCAGGGAAGAGAUGACAAGGGGCUGGACCAAGCGGCGGCCAUGAGGAUGAUGGAGGAGGUAGAUUUGUUUUCUGGUUUUGUUUCUUUUUUUUUUUUUUUUUGAGAUGGAGUCUCGCUCUGUCACCCAGGCUGGAGCAGCGUCAUGAUCUCGGCUCACUGCAACCUCCGUCUCCCAGGUUCAAGCGAUUCUCCUGCCUCAGCCUUCCGUGUAACUGGGAUUACAGGCAUUCGCCACCAUGCCCGGCUAAUUUUUUGUAUUUUUAGUGGAGACGGGGUUUCACCAUGUUGGUCAGGCUGGGUCUUGAACUCCUGACCUCAGAUGAUCCACCCGCCUCGGCCUCCCAAAGUGCUGGGAUUACCUGUGAGCCACCGUGCCCACGAGGAGGUGGAUUUGGGGAACAUUUAUGAGGUACAUGGACUU
rnacentral:lncRNA from 1 species